rnacentral:rRNA from 1 species
AUACGAAGGGUGCAAGCGUUAAUCGGAAUUACUGGGCGUAAAGCGCGCGUAGGUGGUUCGUUAAGUUGGAUGUGAAAGCCCCGGGCUCAACCUGGGAACUGCAUCCAAAACUGGCGAGCUAGAGUAUAGCAGAGGGUGGUGGAAUUUCCUGUGUAGCGGUGAAAUGCGUAGAUAUAGGAAGGAACACCAGUGGCGAAGGCGACCCCCUGGGCUAAUACUGACACUGAGGUGCGAAAGCGUGGGGAGAAAACAGGAUUAGAUACCCUGGUAGUCCACGCCGUAAACGAUGUCGACUAGCCGUUGGGAUCCUUGAGAUCUUAGUGGCGCAGCUAACGCAUUAAGUCGACCGCCUGGGGAGUACGGCCGCAAGGUUAAAACUCAAAUGAAUUG